CAGGCUUAACACAUGCAAGUCGAGGGGCUAUCAGGAAGAAAGCUUGCUUUCUUUGCUGGCGACCGGCGCACGGGUGAGUAACACGUAUCCAACCUGCCCUUUACUCGGGGAUAGCCUUUCGAAAGAAAGAUUAAUACCCGAUAGCAUAAUGAUUCCGCAUGGUUUCAUUAUUAAAGGAUUCCGGUAAAGGAUGGGGAUGCGUUCCAUUAGGUUGUUGGUGAGGUAACGGCCCACCAAGCCUUCGAUGGAUAGGGGUUCUGAGAGGAAGGUCCCCCACAUUGGAACUGAGACACGGUCCAAACUCCUACGGGAGGCAGCAGUGAGGAAUAUUGGUCAAUGGGCGCUAGCCUGAACCAGCCAAGUAGCGUGAAGGAUGAAGGCUCUAUGGGUCGUAAACUUCUUUUAUAUAAGAAUAAAGUGCAGUAUGUAUACUGUUUUGUAUGUAUUAUAUGAAUAAGGAUCGGCUAACUCCGUGCCAGCAGCCGCGGUAAUACGGAGGAUCCGAGCGUUAUCCGGAUUUAUUGGGUUUAAAGGGAGCGUAGGUGGACUGGUAAGUCAGUUGUGAAAGUUUGCGGCUCAACCGUAAAAUUGCAGUUGAUACUGUCAGUCUUGAGUACAGUAGAGGUGGGCGGAAUUCGUGGUGUAGCGGUGAAAUGCUUAGAUAUCACGAAGAACUCCGAUUGCGAAGGCAGCUCACUGGACUGCAACUGACACUGAUGCUCGAAAGUGUGGGUAUCAAACAGGAUUAGAUACCCUGGUAGUCCACACAGUAAACGAUGAAUACUCGCUGUUUGCGAUAUACAGUAAGCGGCCAAGCGAAAGCAUUAAGUAUUCCACCUGGGGAGUACGCCGGCAACGGUGAAACUCAAAGGAAUUGACGGGGGCCCGCACAAGCGGAGGAACAUGUGGUUUAAUUCGAUGAUACGCGAGGAACCUUACCCGGGCUUAAAUUGCAGUGGAAUGAUGUGGAAACAUGUCAGUGAGCAAUCACCGCUGUGAAGGUGCUGCAUGGUUGUCGUCAGCUCGUGCCGUGAGGUGUCGGCUUAAGUGCCAUAACGAGCGCAACCCUUAUCUUUAGUUACUAACAGGUUAUGCUGAGGACUCUAGAGAGACUGCCGUCGUAAGAUGUGAGGAAGGUGGGGAUGACGUCAAAUCAGCACGGCCCUUACGUCCGGGGCUACACACGUGUUACAAUGGGGGGUACAGAAGGCAGCUAGCGGGUGACCGUAUGCUAAUCCCAAAAUCCUCUCUCAGUUCGGAUCGAAGUCUGCAACCCGACUUCGUGAAGCUGGAUUCGCUAGUAAUCGCGCAUCAGCCACGGCGCGGUGAAUACGUUCCCGGGCCUUGUACACACCGCCCGUCAAGCCAUGGGAGCCGGGGGUACCUGAAGUACGUAACCGCAAGGAUCGUCCUAGGGUAAAACUGGUGACUG
rnacentral:rRNA from 1 species